GUGUGUGUGUGUGUGUCCUUCCUUCCCCACCGUCACAGCUCUUCCUUCUCCCCACCACACCCCUUCCUCAAGCUUCCCCAACACUUCUCUUCCUCCCCACCCUUCCUUUUCCUCAUCCCACCCUUCCUUUCCUCCCCUUCACACUCUUCCUUCCUCCGUUUUUUCCCCUUUCCUUAUUCAUAGAAGGGGAGGAAGUUUGGGGUGAUUGGGGUGAACUGGGGAGAGGGAUGAGCUUAGUGCAUGAGGGGGGAGGGGUGAAGGUAAGGAGAGGAGGAAGAGGAGGAGGAGGAGGUGACGGGGUGAUGAGGUGAGAGGUUGAAUGUGUAGGUCGACAGAUUAAGAUGCAGUGUGAGUGUGAGGGGGGGGGGGAGGAGAGGGGGAGAGGAAGCAACGGGGUGGGGCGGGGUCGGGCUGGGCGGGGUGGGGUGAAAGGGUAUGCCUAGGUGGGGGUGUUGUGGCGGGGGGUGACAAGGGUAGCGAGUAUGCGUCACCACCUGUGUGUGUGUGUGUGUGUGUGUGUGUGUGUGUGUGUGUGUGUGUGUGUGUGUGUGUGUGUGUGUGUGUGUGUGUGUGUGAAGGUCGGUCUCUGAGAAAUGCUUCAAGACUGACUCAAGGGCAAAAAAAAAUUGGUGAAUUAGUACCAUUUACGGUGUCGACAAGGCUUGGCCGGAGUCUACUUGCCCAGGUAAAGGUGUGUGUACAGGUGCAUGGGUGGGGGGAGGGGGCGGGUUGCAGGUGAGAGCACAGGUGAGUUACGCAGAAACACAUAUGCAAGGUAGAAAUUUACAGGUGAAGGGAAGGUAACACACAAAACGCAGGUGAAAACAUGAAGGUAAAUUGCAUGAAAGUAUAUAAUCAGGUGUGAAAACAAAGGUAGAGAGAGGGACAUGUAUUUAAAAGGUAGA